rnacentral:rRNA from 1 species
UAAACUAGGAUUAGAUACCCUAUUAUUAAAAAUGUAAAAUAUUUUAUAGAGUAAUAUUAGUUAUGUUCUUGAAAUUUAAAGGAUUUGGCGGUAUUUUAGUCUAUUCAGAGGAACCUGUCUUGUAAUUGAUAGUCCACGAUUAAUUUAACUUAUUUUCUAAGUUUGUAUAUCGUCGUAAUUUGAAUGUUUUAUAAGAAAUUUAAUAUUCAUGAUUUAAAAUAGUAUAAUAAAUCAGAUCAAGAUACAGCAUAUAAUUAAGGAGUGAUGGGUUACAAUAAAUUUAUUUAUACGGUUAAAAUAAUUAAAAUUGUUUUAUAAGGUGGAUUUGAAAGUAAUAUAAUUUAUUUUAAUUAUGUGAUUAAAGCUCUAAAAUAUGUACAUAUCGCCCGUCGCUCCCAUUUUAAGUGGGAUAAGUCGUAACAAAGUAGAUGUACCGGAAGGUGUAUCUAGUAAGACAAAUUAGAGCUUGUAAUAAAGUAUUUUAUUUACAUUAAAAAGUUAGUUGUGAGAAUCAAUUUAAUUUGAAAAGAUUGAAUUAUAAUAUAGAUUUAUAAAUAAAGUAUUUUUUAUAUUAGUAUAAUAAAGAAAAUAAAAGGUUUAUUAUAGUAAAUUGUAUAGUAAUAGAGUUUUGAAAUAUGAUUUUUUUUAGUAAAAAGAAAAUUUAACUUAUUGUACCUUGUGUAUCAGGGUUUAUUAAAAAAGUUUAUUUUAUUAGUUUUCUCGAAUUAUAAAGAGUUAAUUUUAUAUAUAUUUAAUUGUUAAAUAAAUUUUUAUAAUAUAAAAUUAGAAAUGAAAUGUUAUUCGUUUUUUAAGAUAUCUAGUUUUUUAAGAAAUGAAUUUAAUUUAUUUUUUAAUAUUAAAAAUUUAAUUGUAUAAUUUAAUUAUAUUAAAAGGUAACAUUUUAAGGGAUAAGCUUUAGGAUGGAUUAUUAUAAUUUAGGUUUUAUAUAAAAAAUAGUAGAAUUGAAAUUUUUUAUCUUUAGUUUGUUAUAAAUAUUUUUUAUUAAUAUAAGAUUUAUAUAUUAAUUUAGUUUUUUUAUUAAGAUAUUUUAAAUAAUAUGAUAUUAUAAGUAAUAAUGAUGAAAUUAGUAUAAUAUUUUGUAAGAUUAAUUUAUUAUGUAAAGAUUAAUUUAAGGAACUCGGCAAAUUCAUUUUUCGCCUGUUUAUUAAAAACAUGUCUUUUUGAUUUUAAUUUAAAGUCUGAUCUGCCCAAUGAGUAAUUGAAUGGCCGCGGUAUUUUGACCGUGCAAAGGUAGCAUAAUCAUUAGUUUUUUAAUUGAAAGCUGGAAUGAAUGAUUGGACGAGAAAAUAACUGUCUCAAUUUGAUAUAAUUAGAAUUUUAUUUCUAAGUUAAAAAGCUUAGAUUAAUUUAAAAGACGAGAAGACCCUAUAGAGUUUUAUAUUUAUGAUUAUAUCAUAAUUUAAGUUUAUUAUAUGUGUAAUAUAUGUAUUAUAAAUAUUUUAUUGGGGCGAUAGAAAAAUUAAAUUAACUUUUUAUAUUAUAAUACAUUAAUAUAUGAUUGAAUGAUCCAAAUUUAUUGAUUAAAAGAUUAAAUUACCUUAGGGAUAACAGCGUUAUUUUUUUUGAGAGUUCAAAUCGAAAGAAGAGUUUGCGACCUCGAUGUUGGAUUAAAAUUUAUUUUAGGUGUAGAAGCUUAAUAAUUAGGUCUGUUCGACCUUUAGAAUUUUACAUGAUCUGAGUUCAAACCGGAGA